rnacentral:lncRNA from 1 species
AUGCCUGACAUGUAAUUGUUAAUCAGCACAACUCAAUAAGCAAGAGCAAUUAAACAAUCAGUUUGGGGUUGGGGGAAUCAUGCAUCUAUCAUAGCUAGGGUUCAACUUAACCCCGGAUUAUAAAUCUACUCACUCAUAAUUAAACUAACAAAACACAAGAUGUAAUAAAAACGCAUAAUUAAACUAUUAUUAAGAAUAGAAAAAAAACCUUCAGUCUUCAAAUCUUGAACAAGAAGAAAAGUUAAAGUCUCCUCUCUUCUCUCUCUAUCUCUAUGUAUGUAUGAUAAAAACUAAUUGAUCUCCUAGAAUAAAAGUAUUUUAAUGUUUUUAUCAAAUUACAAGGUAAUCUCCGAAACCGAAUAGGAGUCCGUUAUUAAAAUUCGCAGGUCUGCUUUCUCCACAGUUUCUGGGCUUUUCCAGUUGGAUUUUGGAUAUUGGACCAUCUCU